AAAAUUAUUAUUGCAGGUUGAAAUCUAUUGGCAGUGACCAGUGGAAAUCGGGUGCAGCUCAGGAUAUAUUUCUAAGUAGUAUAGCGGACCAGUUUGGAUUGCCCUCCACACCUGAGAUGGGUGAAACGCCCUCUGAUCGGGUAGGUGGCUGCGGAGUAAAUGUUAGUGAUGGAGAUGGAUGGGAGGAAGUGAUCCCGCUGUAUUUGGUCCCGUUCUCCUUCUCCCCUGCUGGAAAAAAGUGAGUGGAUUAAGAGAUAUUUAAGAUCAUUAUUUUUCCUGUGCGCUGCAAUGGUGCUGUAGUUGGCAAACGGAGUGUGUGACUGUUGUGUUGUGAGAAAAUUGUCUUUCCAGCUGUGUUGUAAAGAAGCGAAUUUGUGGGAGAAGGUGGU